rnacentral:lncRNA from 1 species
UCCACACCAGUCCCAGGGGUAAUGAUGAUGAUGUCUUGUCCUUGACCUUCUUAGUGAAAAUCAAGCUGCUGUUUUCCAUUCAAUGAAACCUGCCUUUUCUGGUUUUGCCAGAAUGAAAGCUGUGAGCUGUGAUGCAUUACUAAAACGGCUGGGACGCUAACCAAGCAGGUGAACUGAAAAGCACAGGCAGAGGAACAGGUGAGCUCUCUUGCCAGCCAUCUGGUGCAUCUGUGAUCUCCAAAAGAGCCGUGCAACAAGUGUCUGAGCUCGCUGUAUGUGACCUGGUACGGCUGCACAGCCAGGAGAAACAAGUAUCCGGCCAUCAGGUGUGA